rnacentral:rRNA from 1 species
ACGUGGCAUGCAUUAGUAACGGCGAGUGAAGCGGCAAAAGCUCAAAUUUGAAAUCUGGUACCUUUGGUGCCCGAGUUGUAAUUUGGAGAGUACCACUUUGGGACUAUACUUUGCCUAUGUUCCUUGGAACAGGACGUCAUGGAGGGUGAGAAUCCCGUAUGGCGAGGGUGUUAGUUCUUUGUAAAGGGUGCUCGAAGAGUCGAGUUGUUUGGGAAUGCAGCUCUAAGUGGGUGGUAAAUUCCAUCUAAAGCUAAAUACAGGCGAGAGACCGAUAGCGAACAAGUACAGUGAUGGAAAGAUGAAAAGAACUUUGAAAAGAGAGUGAAAAAGUACGUGAAAUUGUUGAAAGGGAAGGGCAUUUGAUCAGACAUGGUGUUUUGCGCCCCUCGCCUCUCGUGGGUGGGGGACUCUCGCAGCUCACUGGGCCAGCAUCAKUUUUUGCGGCAGGACAAAACCUUGGGAAUGUGGCUGCGGACUUCGGUGCGUCGUGUUAUAGCCCUUGGGAAUACUGCCAGCGGGGACUGAGGACUGCGAUACUUGUUAUCUAGGAUGCUGGCAUAAUGGUUAUAUGCCGCCCGUCUUGAAMMACGGGACACCAA